GCACUGCCUUCGGCAGAACAUAUACUAAAAUUGCAACGGUACAGAGAUUAGCAUGGCCCCUGCGCAAGGAUGACACGGAAAAUCGUGAGGCGUCCCAAAUAUAA